rnacentral:misc_RNA from 1 species
AAGUCGUAACAAGGUUUACCGUAGGUGAACCUGCGGAAGGAUCAUUAUUGAAUGAACUUGGCUUGGUUGCUGCUGGUCUUUUCGAAGACAUGUGCACGCCAUGUCAUCUUUAUAUCUCCACCUGUGCACCUUUUGUAGACCUGGAUUCAAUUUUCCGAGGUAACUCGGUCGUGGAGAUCUGACUGACGUCUUCUUGUUCAGCUUCGAGCUUCAUGUUACACAUUACCAGAACGAUAACAGAAUGUCAUUAUUAGGCUUAAUUGUCUUAUAAACUAUAUACAA